UACGUAGGGUGCAAGCGUUGUCCGGAAUUAUUGGGCGUAAAGAGCUCGUAGGCGGUUUGUUGCGUCGGCUGUGAAAUCCCCGAGGCUCAACCUCGGGUCUGCAGUCGAUACGAGCAAAACUAGAGUGUUGCAGGGGGAGACUGGAAUUCCUGGUGUAGCGGGUGAAAAUGCGCAGAUAUCAGGAGGGAAACACCGGGUGGGCGAAAGGGC
rnacentral:rRNA from 1 species